rnacentral:rRNA from 1 species
GACGAACGCUGGCGGCGUGCUUAACACAUGCAAGUCGAACGGAAAGGCCCGGCUUUUGUGGGGUGCUCGAGUGGCGAACGGGUGAGUAACACGUGAGGAACCUGCCCUUGACUGGGGGAUAACGUCAGGAAACCGGGGCCAGUGGCGGAUAGGAGGGCCUGCGGCAGGGGGGGGGCUGGAAAGUGUCGGGGGAGGGGGAUGGACUCGCGGCUUAUCAGCCGGUGGGUGGGGGAGGGGCUUAGCAGGGAUUUGACGGGAAGCAGGCCGUGCAGGGUGACCGGCCACAUUGGGACUGAGGUACCGCCCAGACUCCUCCGGGAGGAAGCAGUGGGGGAUAUUGCACCGUGGGCGGCGGCCUGCUGCCGCAGCGCCGCGUGCGGGAUGACGACCUUCGGGUUGUACUCCGCUUUCGCCUGUGACGAAGCGUCAGUGACGGUAAUGGGUAAAGAAGCACCGGCUAACUCCGUG